UACGGAGGGUGCAAGCGUUAAUCGGAAUUACUGGGCGUAAAGGGCACGCAGGUGGCUGAGAAAGUCGGAUGUGAAAGCCCCGGGCUUAACCUGGGAACUGCAUUCGAAACUACUCGGCUAGAGUAUGGGAGAGGGAAGCGGAAUUCCCGGUGUAGCGGUGAAAUGCGUAGAUAUCGGGAGGAACAUCAGUGGCGAAGGCGGCUUCCUGGCCCAAUACUGACACUCAUGUGCGAAAGCGUGGGGAGCAAACAGG
rnacentral:rRNA from 1 species